GCCGGGGUAGCUCAGCUGGGAGAGCAACAGACUGAAGUCUAGUUCUGUGGAUCGAACACUCGUGCGAAUUCUGGAGGUCCUGUGUUCAAAUCACAGUCCUGGCA